AUUAUUAGAACUAAUUAACAUAGACUUUGGUUCCUAUGAUACAUUUGUUAAUGAAUUUAAGGUAGCUGCGGCAAUACAAUUUGGCUCCUGUUGGGCCUGGCUUAUAUGUGAGAAUUUCUUUGCCUUUUAUCUGCAUAAAAUCAUUUAUCUGCUCAACUCUUUUGUUAUAAUUAACCCACAUGGCUGAAAAGUCAUUUAUUUGUUACUUCGUAAACAAAAUUUGAAGACGAAAAACUUGCUCUGGUGAAAACUCCUGAUGCUGAAAAUCCUCUUGUUUUGAAUGAGUAAAACACAUGCUUCUCUAUUUUCUUUGUUCAUUGGGAUUUUAUCUUACAUAUCCUAGUAGUUAUAUAAUAGUUGAAAUUUCACAUUUUAUCUUACAUAGCCUAGUAGGUUUAUAUUAAUGGAUGCUUCAGGGACACCACUGAACUUUUACAAGGAUACACAUGAUGAAAGUUGUUUGAACUCCAUUUGGUUCCCUUUCUUUCUACCCUUGCCGACAUGAUCUAUCAAAUGCUUAGUUUUCAACUCAAAUUCAUUGAUAUAUGUAUCCAAAUGGAAUUUACCUCCUCUUCCUGCGCCCUCACCUCCAUUCUCUCUUUCUUGCACUUUAGAUACAUGUCUUAAGAUGUGUAUGGCUCUGUUUCUUGAUUCAUGAGAAUUUUCAUAUGCCAAACUUAUUAAUGCUAGAACACAUAACAAGAUUAUGACACAAGGAAGGAAGCCAACAAUUAUUUUCGUUGGAUGGAGCUAAAUGCCUUUGCUGGUCUUUGUGGUCUUUUCCUUUCUAAGUGGCUAGUUGCAAAAAGAGACAGAAAAUAGAAAAUGUUAGGAAGUGGUGAGGGAGUGUUUAUGAAUAAGAUUUGAAGCUUAGCAUCAAAGCUUUAGCUACUCUCAUCAAAGGGUGCCUAUAUAACACAAUUAAAGAUGUAAUCUAAAGGUCAAUGAAAUGAGUAAAACUUAUAGAGAACCACGACUCAAAUUACAAUAAGGGUGGAAAUCUCACAUUUUGUUCCUUAAUAAGGGCCUAAUAUUAAGUGGAGCCAAGUCUUGCUACUUAAUUUAAAAUUGUGAUUUUCAUUCAUAGCUCAUUUGCAUAAGCUUUCUAUUUUGCUUGUAAUCAUGAUUUUCAUUCAUAGCUCAUUUGCAUAAGCUUUCUAAUUUGCUUGAAAUCAUGAUUUUCAUUCAUAGAUCAUUUGCAUAAGCUCUCUAAUUUGCUUGAUUGUGUAAUUUUUAUUUAACUUAUAAUUCAAAGAUUUUAAGUCCUCAAAGGUUAAAAAAACUGACAUUAAGUUUACAGAUUUGUUCAUUAAGUUUACCUUUUAACUGUCUCAAAUUAGUUUCUGGAUGUUUGAUUUGUGCUAACUUAUUGAAAUCUAAUGCUUUUACAUAAUCGGUGGAGUGAUUGCCUUGGUUCUCGUGGUGAUAUGCUUGUUAUGGUUCGUGGUGAUCAAUGAAGUUAGAUUUCUCAUGGCAGUGAAUUGGGAGCUAUUCAUCCAAUGGAUAAUCACUCAACACAUCUAGGGUAGAUCAAAAUGUUCUUUGCUGAAUUUUGAGAGAAACCAAAGGAUUCUUCAGAAGACGCCUAAAAGGUGGAAGGACUUAUUCGCCAAAGAAGUGGGAUAUAUCUACCACACAAGAGCAUGUCCAGGUGUUAGCAGAGUAGUGCUAAAAGACAUCUUUUAGUCUGUUCUCUUAACAAUUUAUUAGCUAUGUUUUCUUUGAAUUUCUGGUCACAGGCUAGCCAAAGUUAUUACUAGGCUACAACUUUGUAAUGUUUUCUCUUGGGUGAUUAAUAAAAAAAUUAGUUACCAAAAAAAUGUAUCUCUUAUGAAUUUUGUUUAUGC
rnacentral:lncRNA from 1 species